rnacentral:rRNA from 1 species
UCAAGUGGUGCACCCUUCAUUCAGAAAUCUCUCAAUUGUAAUAUGCUAAGCAGGGCUGAGCUUAGUCAGUACCUGGAUGGGAGACCACAUGAGAAGACUAGGUUGCUGUUGGAA